rnacentral:lncRNA from 10 species
AUGUGUGACAAUAACAAUGUUUUUAUGUUCCAUUCAAUUUUUCUUAAAUAAAUAAGCUCCUUUUUCUUUCUGAACACUUAAAAACACACUUCAAUAAAACAUAAACAGAUUAUUUUAAACAGAAGACACAUAGCAGUUUCCUGAUAAUUUUGAACUCAGUUUGUAAAUGAAAUAGGGUUUAUGCCUUAAUCAGUGUCAAUGUCCUUCUCUCACACCAGGAAAUGCUGGCCUCAGGCAGCACUCCACAUGCGAACUUCUUUAACUCUGUGUCUCACAGGAUGGCCGCCAUCUCGUACUUCUCUUCUUGGUUUCUCCCCAUGUCCAGGUGAAAUCUAUUCAAUCCCCAAAACUCCCAGAAUCAAAAAAGGAAGAAAUUCUUUCCUCAGGGAGUGGGGUACAAAGGAGGCUGAAUGAACAAUGACCACAAGUUAGUAAUUGGGAGAAAAGGAAGACAGGAAGACAGAGAAACAGGGAAAAUGAUUUUGAAGGAAGACAAGUCAGAGGCAUGGCUGGGCUGGAGGCCCCUUCAGGUAGCCGAAUGUGGGGGCGGAACUGAAAUGUCCAUCAGGCCCCGUAGAGAGAGGGAGACUGUGAACGUCUACAGCCAAUUAUCAUGUCUGCAUGUGUCCCACAACACCCAGCGCAGAUGCUUUUUAAAUACUUGUCAGACCCACAUUUUUUGACACCUAUUACUCGUUGUGUAUUAGAGAUGCAGAGAACAGUAAGAAUGUGUUUUUCUCACAGUUCAGUGGAGAGCACAGACACAAAAAGCCCAUAAUAGAACACAUUCAAUGUUGUCUUUGUACAACAAAAUACAGAACUCUCCCAAAGUCAUUUCCCAGGGCUGACUGGAAGAUGAAAUGGCCAAAAAGCUAGUCAGGUGCAGGUUGUGAUGAUUGUAACAGUGAUUUACAUGAGGGGUAGAAAUUUAUCUGGACCUCUUCUUCAUUGUAUCUACAAUGGUUAGAACAGCACAGGGUUCAUAAAAGAUACUCAGUAAAUACCUGUGGCUUAAAUGAAUGAAUAAUUGUUUAAAUACCUUAGAUAGUGGGCAGACAUCAUAGGGCUUUUUUUUAGUUUUUAAAAUAUUUACUAUUUUUGAUUGACAAAUCACAGCAGCAUGCAUUUACGGUGAACAAUGUGAUUUUUGAUCAUGUAUACAAUGUGGCAUGAUUAAAUCAAAUUAAUUAACAUAUCUUCACUCACCUACCAUUUUUUACGGUGAGACAUUUGAAAUGUACUCCCUCAGCUAUUUUGAACUGUAUAAUACAUUAUUAUUGACCAUGGUCGCCUUCUGUGCAAUAGAUCUCAAAACCUAUUCCUCCUGUCUGUCUGAAACUAUUACCGUUUAAUCAACACUUCCACAUUCCCUCUCAUGUCCUAAAGUUUUAAGCUAAAAAGUAACACAAGCAUUUCUUAAUUUAGAAUUAGACCUCUGGCAGUGCAAUCUGGAAGAUGAUUGGGAAGGAAAAGAUUAAGGAAGGAAGGAGUGGUUAGGAGUUUGUGGAGUGGUCCAGGCAAGGAAUAAAGGGAAAGGGUGAGCAAUGGCAGGAUGUGGUGGGGAAGAGGAGGGGCCCUAAAUGACACUGGCAUUUCUGCCUUUGGCAACAGAAAGAAAACAAGGGGAGUGGAGAAAGGCCUGAGGCACCAGUCUUGAGAAGGAUCCUGAUCCAAGGGAAGAUGUCCCAGGAGAGAGCAGCCCAGGUGACAAAGGAGAGCAGGUUAAUGUGUCAAGUGCUGGGAGAAGCCAAGGAUAACAGAAUUUAAAAGUGGGCUGUGCAGGGUUGAGUGUGGGUGAGGCAGCACUUUUCCUCAGGGAGUCCCAGGAAUGAGCUGAAUGCCUCGCUGAGUCUGCAGCAGGUCAGGCACAGAGGACCGAGGCCAACAGAGAAAAGGUGGACCGAAGCGGGCCCUGGGAUGGUGGCUCCAGAGCCCUUGUCUCCUGCCACCCCAGAGACACUUCCUGCUGCCAACUAAUCUGGCUCCUCCCUUUCUUCAAUUGCUCCUGGAUCCAAGAGGAAGAGAGGCAGGGAUGCUAAGAAACUAGACCAAGGCUUGCCAGGAAGAAGAGAGUCAGAGAAGGAAAAACAUUACCUGAGCAAAGGGGUCUGGUAAGGACAGAGCUGGAGCUCUGGCUGGUGGGAUUCCUGGCAGUGCAGUGAUAGCUCUCACUUUCCCCAGAUAUCCAGGGGACACUGAGAGUGGUCCCCCCAUGGGACACAACUGCCCCAUGACUAGGAGGCUCCCAGCUGUUCUGCACAUUCUCUCCAGCCUGUUCCAGGGAGCAGGCCAGGGUGAUGAAGCAGGUCCCAUCCUUCAUGAUCUGGGAGCUGGCAAAGAUGUUCAACUCCUACAGCAUCUCUGAACCAAGAAGGGAAAGCUUGAGCUAUGAGAAGGCUCUGGUCUGGCCAAACAGGGUAGAGGAAAGCUCAGUUUC